rnacentral:lncRNA from 1 species
AAAAUAUUAUUUUCUCUUAAAUUUACAAAAACAUGAAUAUAAUUCAUAUGGUACUUAGCGUUGUAGCACAAAGUUUCCCUUGUUUAUCAAGUGCAAUGAUAAACACCAGGAGGUUAUGUGUUUCCAGCUGAUAUACCAAAGAAUUUUAAUUUAAACAGUAUCUGUUUAAAGAUGAACAGUAUCCGUUUUAAUUUAAACAGUGAAUGAACAGUAUAUGUUUAUGAACAAACAAGAACAAUAUUUCUGAUGUGGAAGAUCACACGAAGGUGCAACCACAGAGCAUACUUAUAAAUUUACAAACUAAUAUUUAUCAAUUAACUCAACCAAAUUUUAAUUAUUUGAUUUUAAUUAAGGUUGAGGGUUCCUGCAACCUUAGCCUGGGAUCCCCAGAACUAAGUCAGAAUGUGGAGGGAGAAGAGAAAGAAGCCUUUAACAGGGCUUAGUAGUAGCAAUUUAUAAAUUUAAAUAAAUAAAUUUAUUUAAAUAUGAAAUUCAAAUUUAAACUUACAAGUUUAAAGUUUACAAUCCAGACUUCGAACGUUGAAUGCUUACAAAGAACUUUGGGGGAGAGGAUGAGAGAGU